rnacentral:rRNA from 1 species
GGAAUUUUGCGCAAUGGGCGAAAGCCUGACGCAGCGACGCCGCGUGAAGGAUGAAGGCUUUAGAGUCGUAAACUUCUGUUGAGUGGGAAGAAAGAACCUUCUUUAAUAGAGAAGGGUGAUGACGGUACCACUUUAGAAAGCACCGGCUAAUCGCGUGCCACCAGCCGCGGUAAUACGAGAGGUGCAAACGUUAGUCGGAAGAAUUGGGCGUAAAGGGUGCGUAGGCGGCCUGUUAAGUGUGUUGUUAAAGACCCCGGCCUAACCGGGGAGCAGCGAUGAAAACUGGCAGGCUAGAGAGUGGAAGAGAGAAGUGGAAUUCUCGGAGUAGCGGUAAAAUGCGUAGAUCUCGAGAGGAACACCGAUGGCGAAGGCAGCUUCUUGGUCCAUUUCUGACGCUGAGGCACGAAAGCGUGGGUAGCAAA